CCCACUUAAUCUCUCUGUCCCACGACGACCAGCCCACUUAAUCUCUCUGUCCCACUACGACCAGUCCACAUAUUCUCUCUGUCCCACGACGACCAGUCCACUUAAUCUCUCUGUCCCACGACGACCAGCCCACUUAAUCUCUCUGUCCCACUACGACCAGUCCACAUAUUCUCUCUGUCCCACGACGACCAGUCCACAUAGUCUCUCUGUCCCACGACGACCAGUCCAAAUAGUCUCUCCGUCCCACUACGGCCAGUCCACAUAGUCUCUCUGUCCCACUACGACCAGUCCACAUAUUCUCUCUGUCCCACGACGACCAGUCCACAUAGUCUCUCUGUCCCACGACGACCAGUCCAAAUAGUCUCUCUGUCCCACUAGAUCAGCCCACUUAAUCUCUCUGUCCCAGGACGACCAGUCCACUCAGCCUCUCCGUCCCACUACGGCCAGUCCACAUAGUCUCACUGUCCGACUAGACCAGUCCAAAUAGUCUCUCCGUCCCACUACGACCAGUCCACAUAGUCUCUCUGUCCCACAACGACCAGUCCAGUCAGUCUCUCUGUCCCACUACGACCAAUCCACUCAGCCUCCCCGUCCCACUAGACCAGUCCACUUAAUUUCUCUGUCCCAGGACGACCAAUCGACUCAGCCUGUCCGUCCCACUACGGCCAGUCCACAUUGUCUCUCUGUCCUACUACGGCCAGUCCACAUAGUCUCUCUUUCUCACUACAACCAGUCCACUCAGCCUCUCCGCCCCACUACGGCC
ensembl:lncRNA